CGAAUAGCCCGAUCCCCUCCCAUUCGACGCGCCGCCGGCCCUCGCCCUGCUUCCAUGCGCCACCGCUGCCCCCCUGCUUCCCCCGUGGCGCCGGCCCGCCUCUCCGCUGCUUCGAAUGCGCCGCCGGCCCACCCCUGCUUCCUUUUCGGCGCCGACCUGCCCCCCUGCAGCUUCCACCGUACCGCUGGCCCGCCUCACCGCUGCUUCCACCACGCCACCCUGGUUCCCACCUACCUACGGCAGCUACUUAGGACCCUCGCGCGCGAAGCACUCAUCCCAGCGAACCCCUGGUGUUCAGCGCCGACACGAGCCCAUACCCCUGCGCCUCGUGGGCUCCGACGACCACCACGGCCAAGAUCCGGUGGAUGCCGCCGACGACUAGCGCGCGGAAGAUGCUGAUGUUCUUGGACGCCCUCUGUUCUACUUCGGGGACGGUCACAGCCGCCACCCGGGUCCGUUCAACGCCGCCAACUGAAGUCGUAUCUCGCCACGGCGAGGUCCAAAGGGUCGCCCCGCUUGCCGUCGACUGCAUGGCGCCGACCACCUGCAUCACCUCUCCCCUCCCUGCUGACCACCCAUGCUGUGUAGCCGCUCUACUCUGUUCCGAUGCUCCCCCUUCCGGAUGGCGCACGCGAAUUCAAGGAUCCACUGGCUCCGACCUUUACCCGCUGUCGUGCACCUGGGAUCCGCACCCUCUGACCUCACCGUGGGGUGCGCUCCUUCUCGGAUGAAACCGUUUGCAAAAAAAGAUGGUGCUUUCUUGUAACAAGUUGUGGGGUUGCAGCAAAAACAAGAUGCACAAGUUCCUCUUUUGUAUGCUUUUCAGUUCAUCUACUUCCGAUGUGUUUUUGUUUCUGUAGGUCAGCUGCCCAACAAUCUUGUACCGCUCAGUGCAUGUAUUACUAAGUUCAAAAAUCAGAACUCAACAAGUUCAACAUGGUGUACGACACGGAGGAGAUCAUCGAGAGGGCACACCGUGGCAUCUUGGACUACAUCAAGCACGCGCUUACCCUCUUCACCAACUUCGUCGCCGUCCUCAUCCGAGUCCUCGUCAUCAUGGGGUUUUUGACAGCAUUGUUCUGCGGAUCCCCAACCCGUCCCGACCCGCGACCUUUGAUCUCCAACCACCAUGAUGUGCCCCAGAUCCGCAGCCUUCGACCUCCACCUCCACCUCCUGCCGCGUGCCCGGAUCGGCGGCCUACCUCUCAUGCACCUCCGCUGGCCACUGAGUGCCAUCACUGCCCUUCUUCACCUUGGCCUUGGCUUCAGUCCGGUUGCACCUGCGACGACCACAUCUUCCUUGUCCCCCUUCUUGCCAAGAUCCGCUGCAGGUUCAAAUCCCUUCAGUUCACUUCGAUCUCUCCCUAGUAAGUUCAGUGUGUGUCAAUGGAAUUGUUUUUACCCAAAAUGUGGCAGUGAUCUCUGUAUUCUGCGAACAGCCCCUGCUGUGGCAUCGUUGUUGUUUGUGCUCAGUACAAAAUUAAACACGCUCUGUACUAGAAGUUCAUGAGAAGGAUUUGUUGAAUCUGCCGUUUGCUUUAUCCAAAAAAC